rnacentral:rRNA from 1 species
UUAACACAUGCAAGUCGAACGGAAAGGCCUUUUCGGAGGUACUCGAGUGGCGAACGGGUGAGUAACACGUGGGUGAUCUGCCCUGCACUCUGGGAUAAGCCUGGGAAACUGGGUCUAAUACCGGAUAGGACCGCACUUUAGUGUGUGUGGUGGAAAGUUUUUUCGGUGUAGGAUGAGCCCGCGGCCUAUCAGCUUGUUGGUGGGGUAAUGGCCUACCAAGGCGGCGACGGGUAGCCGGACUGAGAGGUUGGUCGGCCACAUUGGGACUGAGAUACGGCCCAGACUCCUACGGGAGGCAGCAGUGGGGAAUAUUGCACAAUGGGCGCAAGCCUGAUGCAGCGACGCCGCGUGGGGGAUGACGGCCUUCGGGUUGUAAACUCCUUUCGCCAGGGACGAAGCGUUUUGUGACGGUACCUGGAGAAGAAGCACCGGCUAACUACGUGCCAGCAGCCGCGGUAAUACGUAGGGUGCAAGCGUUGUCCGGAAUUACUGGGCGUAAAGAGCUCGUAGGUGGUUUGUCACGUCGUCUGUGAAAUUCCACAGCUUAACUGUGGGCGUGCAGGCGAUACGGGCUGACUUGAGUACUGUAGGGGUAACUGGAAUUCCUGGUGUAGCGGUGAAAUGCGCAGAUAUCAGGAGGACACCGAUGGCGAAGGCAGGUUACUGGGCAGUUACUGACGCUGAGGAGCGAA